UGGGGUGUAGCCAAGCGGUAAGGCAAUGGACUCUGACUCCAUCAUCCCUAGGUUCGAAUCCUAGCACCCCAGCCA
rnacentral:tRNA from 1 species